rnacentral:rRNA from 1 species
ACGUAGGUGGCAAGCGUUGUCCGGAGUUAUUGGGCGUAAAGCGAGCGCAGGCGGUUGUUUAAGUCUGAUGUGAAAGCCCCCGGCUUAACCGGGGAGGGUCAUUGGAAACUGGAUAACUUGCGUGCAGAAGAGGAGGGUGGAAUUCCAUGUGUAGCGGUGAAAUGCGUAGAGAUAUGGAGGAACACCAGUGGCGAAGGCGGCUCUCUGGACGGUAACUGACGCUGAGGCGCGAAAGCGUGGGGAGCAAACAG